UAGGGAAUCUUCGGCAAUGGGGGCAACCCUGACCGAGCAACGCCGCGUGAGUGAAGAAGGUNUUCGGAUCGUAAAGCUCUGUUGUAAGAGAAGAACGAGUGUGAGAGUGGAAAGUUCACACUGUGACGGUAACUUACCAGAAAGGGACGGCUAACUACGUGCCAGCAGCCGCGGUAAUACGUAGGUCCCGAGCGUUAUCCGGAUUUAUUGGGCGUAAAGCGAGCGCAGGCGGUUAGAUAAGUCUGAAGUUAAAGGCUGUGGCUUAACCAUAGUACGCUUUGGAAACUGUUUAACUUGAGUGCAGAAGGGGAGAGUGGAAUUCCAUGUGUAGCGGUGAAAUGCGUAGAUAUAUGGAGGAACACCGGUGGCGAAAGCGGCUCUCUGGUCUGUAACUGACGCUGAGGCUCGAAAGCGUGGGGAGCAAACAGGAUUAGAUACCCUGGUAGUCCACGCCGUAAACGAUGAGUGCUAGGUGUUGGGUCCUUUCCGGGACUCAGUGCCGCAGCUAACGCAUUAAGCACUCCGCCUGGGGAGUACGACCGCAAGGUUG
rnacentral:rRNA from 1 species